UACAGAGGGGGCAAGCGUUGUUCGGAAUUACUGGGCGUAAAGGGCUCGUAGGCGGCCCGCUAAGUCGAACGUGAAAUCCCUAGGCUCAACCUAGGAACUGCGUCUGAUACUGGAUGGCUUGAGUAUGGGAGAGGGAUGUAGAAUUCCAGGUGUAGCGGUGAAAUGCGUAGAUAUCUGGAGGAAUACCGGUGGCGAAGGCGGCAUCCUGGACCAUUACUGACGCUGAGGCGCGAAAGCUAGGGGAGCAAACGGG
rnacentral:rRNA from 1 species